UACGGGGCGCUGCAGGCGCGAAACCUCUGCAAUAGGCGAAAGCCUGACAGGGUUACUCUGAGUGGUUCCCGCUAAGGGGAUCUUUUGGCACCUCUAAAAAUGGUGCAGAAUAAGGGGUGGGCAAGCCUGGUGUCAGCCGCCGCGGUAAUACCAGCACCCCGAGUGGUCGGGACGAUUAUUGGGCCUAAAGCAUCCGUAGCCGGUCAUGCAAGUCUUCCGUUAAAUCCAGCCGCCCAACGGUUGGGCUGCGGAGGAUACUAUAGAGCUAGGAGGCGGGAGAGGCAAGCGGUACUCAGUGGGUAGGGGUAAAAUCCGUUGAUCCAUUGAAGACCACCAGUGGCGAAGGCGGCUUGCCAGAACGCACUCGACGGUGAGGGAUGAAAGCUGGGGGAGCAAACCGGAUUAGAUACCCGGGUAGUCCCAGCUGUAAACGAUGCAGACUCGGUGAUGAAUAGGCUUCGUGCCUAUUCAGUGCCGCAGGGAAGCCGUUAAGUCUGCCGCCUGGGGAGUACGGUCGCAAGACUGAAACUUAAAGGAA
rnacentral:rRNA from 1 species